UACGUAGGGUGCAAGCGUUGUCCGGAAUUAUUGGGCGUAAAGGGCUCGUAGGCGGUCCAUCGCGUCGGGAGUGAAAAGCUGGGGCUCAACCCCAGUCCUGCUUCCGAUACGGGUGGACUAAAGGUAUGCAGGGGAGAACGGAAUUCCACGUGUAGCGGUGAAAUGCGUAGAGAUGUGGAGGAACACCAGUGGCGAAGGCGACUCUUUGGUCUGUAACUGACGCUGAGGCGCGAAAGCGUGGGGAGCAAACAGG
rnacentral:rRNA from 1 species